GUUACUGGAAACCUACUUCCGGCUGCAAAUGGGAAAAGGAGCCUCUACCUUAACCAAUCCCCGGGAACCUCAGGCCCGCGGAUGGGAGAAACCAGAGAUGCCAACUUCCUGCUUCCGAAGUAGUGGCUGGGUCUUAAAGCACCGAUGUUUCUGCAUUGAAUAGCCCUGGAAGACAGAAUUCUUGUCUCUCCAAAGAUCUGGCAGACUUAUUCCCAAUUAUAAGAGAUCCUUGCAAAGGAGGUGUCUUGCUUCACCUUCACCUUCCACUGUGAUUGUAAGUUUUCUGAGGCCUCGCCAGCCAUGCGGAACUGAAUAGGACUAGCAACUUCAUAGACGGUUGUGAAGACAAGCUAGACGGCAGAUGAAAGUUCUUGGCACAGAGUGAACACUUGAUAAACUAUAUGGCAGAUUAGGAAAUAAAAGCUCAGAAAGAUGGAUUCGCAUGUCCAAAGUCACAACCUCUUCCCUCUUGACUGGAUCCUUCCUGUGAGCAUUGAAACCUGCUCUACUGGCUAUCAUCCUAAAUGACAAAUCAGUCCUCUUUCAACCCACGACCCCC
rnacentral:lncRNA from 10 species